rnacentral:piRNA from 1 species
UCCCAUCAACCUGUGUUCUACUGCAUCA